UGGUGGCCGUAGCGCGGUGGUCCCACCUGACCCCAUGCCGAACUCAGAAGUGAAACGCCGUAGCGCCGAUGGU
rnacentral:rRNA from 1 species